GAUGAACGCUGGCGGCGUGCCUAAUACAUGCAAGUCGAGCGAACAGACGAGGAGCUUGCUCCUCUGACGUUAGCGGCGGACGGGUGAGUAACACGUGGAUAACCUGCCUAUAAGACUGGGAUAACUUCGGGAAACCGGAGCUAAUACCGGAUAAUAUAUUGAACCGCAUGGUUCAAUAGUGAAAGACGGUUUUGCUGUCACUUAUAGAUGGAUCCGCGCCGCAUUAGCUAGUUGGUAAGGUAACGGCUUACCAAGGCAACGAUGCGUAGCCGACCUGAGAGGGUGAUCGGCCACACUGGAACUGAGACACGGUCCAGACUCCUACGGGAGGCAGCAGUAGGGAAUCUUCCGCAAUGGGCGAAAGCUUGACGGAGCAACGCCGCGUGAGUGAUGAAGGUCUUCGGAUCGUAAAACUCUGUUAUUAGGGAAGAACAAAUGUGUAAGUAACUAUGCACGUCUUGACGGUACCUAAUCAGAAAGCCACGGCUAACUACGU
rnacentral:rRNA from 1 species